rnacentral:rRNA from 1 species
UACGGGAGGGGUGCGAGCGUUAAUCGGAAUUACUGGGCGUAAAGCGCAUGCAGGCGGCCUGUUAAGUCAGAUGUGAAAGACCCGGGGCGUUAACCUCGGAAUUGCAUUUGUAAACUGGCAGGCUAGAGUCUUGUAGAGGGGGGUAGGAAUUUCAGGUGUAGCGGUGAAAUGCGUAGAGAUCUGAAGGAAUACCAGUGGCGAAGGCGGCCCCCUCGGACAAAGACUGACGCUCAGAUGCGAAAGCGUGGGGAGCCAAACAGGAUUAGAUACCCCUGGUAG